UACGUAGGUGGCAAGCGUUGUCCGGAGUUACUGGGCGUAAAGGGCACGCAGGCGGUGCGGCGCGUUUCGCGUGACAGCGGAGGGCUUAACUCUCCGAGGAUGCGAAAGACGGCGGCACUUGAGGGCCAGAGAGGGACACGGAAUUCCGGGUGGAGUGGUGAAAUGCGUAGAGAUCCGGAGGAACACCGAAGGCGAAGGCAGUGUCCUGGCUGGUGACUGACGCUGAGGUGCGAAAGCUAGGGGAGCGAACGGG
rnacentral:rRNA from 1 species